AGGAAUAUUGGUCAAUGGACGAGAGUCUGAACCAGCCAAGUAGCGUGAAGGAUGACUGCCCUAUGGGUUGUAAACUUCUUUUAUACGGGAAUAAAGUGAGGCACGUGUGCCUUUUUGUAUGUACCGUAUGAAUAAGGAUCGGCUAACUCCGUGCCAGCAGCCGCGGUAAUACGGAGGAUCCGAGCGUUAUCCGGAUUUAUUGGGUUUAAAGGGAGCGUAGGCGGACGCUUAAGUCAGUUGUGAAAGUUUGCGGCUCAACCGUAAAAUUGCAGUUGAUACUGGGUGUCUUGAGUACAGUAGAGGCAGGCGGAAUUCGUGGUGUAGCGGUGAAAUGCUUAGAUAUCACGAAGAACUCCGAUUGCGAAGGCAGCUUGCUGGACUGUAACUGACGCUGAUGCUCGAAAGUGUGGGUAUCAAACAGGAUUAGAUACCCUGGUAGUCCACACAGUAAACGAUGAAUACUCGCUGUUUGCGAUAUACAGUAAGCGGCCAAGCGAAAGCGUUAAGUAUUCCACCUGGGGAGUACGCCGGCAACGGUGAAACUCAAAGGAAUUGACGGGGGCCCGCACAAGCGGAGGAACAUGUGGUUUAAUUCGAUGAUACGCGAGGAACCUUACCCGGGCUUGAAUUGCAACUGAAUGAUGUGGAGACAUGUCAGCCGCAAGGCAGUUGUGAAGGUGCUGCAUGGUUGUCGUCAGCUCGUGCCGUGAGGUGUCGGCUUAAGUGCCAUAACGAGCGCAACCCUUAUCGAUAGUUACCAUCAGGUUAUGCUGGGGACUCUGUCGAGACUGCCGUCGUAAGAUGUGAGGAAGGUGGGGAUGACGUCAAAUCAGCACGGCCCUUACGUCCGGGGCUACACACGUGUUACAAUGGGGGGUACAGAAGGCAGCUACACGGCGACGUGAUGCUAAUCCCUAAAGCUUCUCUCAGUUCGGAUUGGAGUCUGCAACCCGACUCCAUGAAGCUGGAUUCGCUAGUAAUCGCGCAUCAGCCACGGCGCGGUGAAUACGUUCCCG
rnacentral:rRNA from 1 species